rnacentral:lncRNA from 1 species
UGAGAAACGCAACCUGCAAAUUAUAAGUUCGAUUGGGUUUAAGGGUUUGAUUAGUUCAAUUGGGUUUUAGGGUUCUUUUCCGAGUCUCCAUCUUCUUUUUCAAGGUAUCUUACUUUCUUAUAAAAAAGUUCAAUUAGUUUUGUGGUUCUUGUUCUUUACUUUUAUUCAAUCGUAGUUCUACAUCUACUAAUUAGAUGUGUCUACUUGAGUCCUGUCUUGUAUACAUAUAAUGUAAUUUUGUGUUUAAUCUGCAUUGGUUGUGUUGAUAUCAAUGUAGUUUUGAUAUUGUAUGGUUUGGAUUAUGUAGUUGGUUUCAAUAUUUGAUGAAUGAGAUAAUGUAUUUGACUGCUUGAAUGCAUGUUUAUAUUUUGGUUUUCAGUUUUGAUAUAUUGCUCUUCAGUUUUGGUAUAUUGGUUUUGGUAAUAUCAGUGUUUUGGUUUUGGUAUUUUGGCGGAUUACAAAGCAGGUGAUUCAUGGCUAAAAUUUAAAUCAGAAAACAAAAGAACUGAUGUCUAACAGGACAACAGACAUCGGUCAUCUUAAAAGAAACUGAGGUCUAACUCGGUAAAACAAAUUAGGCACUAAAAAGAAAUGAUGUGAUAGAGUCAUAUAGACAUCAUAAAUUAUAAAGAACUGAUGUCAUAACAUGGAAAGCACAUCAUGUUCACUAAUGCAUCGAUGUUAAAGCUAUAAAAGAACAUCAGUACCUCCAACAAACUGAUGUUAAAUGGACAAGUGGACAUCGGGGUUUUUAAAAUAACUGAUGUCCAUGCCUUAUUUUCUUUCACAUGUCAUACAUUUAAGAUGAUAUAAAUAGCAUAUCAAAGCUAUAUUCAAAUGAUAAUCAUGGUAAUUUAUGGUGAUUUUGAUGCAAAGACAUCGGGUUUUUAUAAGGAAUCGAUGUCUAAGAUGCUCGUAGACAUCGGCUAAAAACCGAUGUCUAAUACCCCUACCUUUCACAUCACAUGCGAAGACAUCAGUCCGGUUUUUAAUAGACAUCGGUUUUUAGCCGAUGUCUAAGCCCUUUUUUCUAGUAGUGU